rnacentral:snoRNA from 1 species
CAGUACGCAGGAACGUGGCAGGCUGCGGAGGGUCGCAUCCAUCCCUCACGCGGUUCAACAACAUGAUCCUAGA